GAUGAAGAACGUAGCGAAAUGCGAUAAGUAGUGUGAAUUGCAGAAUUCAGUGAAUCAUCGAAUCUUUGAACGCACAUUGCGCCCCUUGGUAUUCCAUGGGGCAUGCCUGUUCGAGCGUCAUUUGUACCUUCAAGCUUUGCUUGGUGUUGGGUGUUUGUCUCGCCUUUGCGUGUAGACUCGCCUUAAAAUAAUUGGCAGCCGGCGUAUUGAUUUCGGAGCGCAGUACAUCUCGCGCUUUGCACUCAUAACGACAGCGUCCAAAAGUACAUUUUACACUCUUGACCUCCGAUCAGGUAGGGAUACCCGCUGAACUUAAGCAUAUCAAUAAGCGGAGGA
rnacentral:misc_RNA from 1 species